GUCUUGAAACACGGACCAAGGAGCCUAUCAUAUACGCGAGUCGCUCGGUCUUGAAUAGGCCCGAGAGGCACAAUGAAAGUAAAGCUACGAGACUUCGGUCGCAGUAGUGGCUCGCCUACUUCGUUUUUCGGCGAUCAGGCGAAGCUGGAGCGUAUACGAUGGUACCCGAAAGAUGGUGAACUAUGCCUGGGCAAGACGAAGCCAGAGGAAACUCUGGUGGAGGUCUGUAGGGAUUCUGACGUGCAAAUCGAU
rnacentral:rRNA from 1 species